rnacentral:rRNA from 2 species
GGGUUGUGAGGUUAAGCGACUAAGCGUACACGGUGGAUGCCUAGGCAGUCAGAGGCGAUGAAGGGCGUGCUAAUCUGCGAUAAGCGUCGGUAAGCUGAUAUGAAGCGUUAUACCCGACGAUACCCGAAUGGGGAAACCCAGUGUGUUUCGACACACUAUCAUGACAUGAAUACAUAGUGUCAUGAGGCGAACCGGGGGAACUGAAACAUCUCAGUACCCCGAGGAAAAGAAAUCAACCGAGAUUCCCCCAGUAGCGGCGAGCGAACGGGGAGGAGCCCAGAACCUGAAUCAGUUUGUGUGUUAGUGGAAGCGUCUGGAAAGUCGCACAGUAAAGGGUGAUAGUCCCGUACACAAAAAUGCACAGAUUGUGAGUUCGAUGAGUAGGGCGGGACACGUGACAUCCUGUCUGAAUAUGGGGGGACCAUCCUCCAAGGCUAAAUACUCCUGACUGACCGAUAGUGAACCAGUACCGUGAGGGAAAGGCGAAAAGAACCCCGGCGAGGGGAGUGAAAUAGAACCUGAAACCGUGUACGUACAAGCAGUGGGAGCCUACUUGUUAGGUGACUGCGUACCUUUUGUAUAAUGGGUCAGCGACUUAUAUUCUGUAGCAAGGUUAACCGUAUAGGGGAGCCGCAGGGAAACCGAGUCUUAACUGGGCGUUAAGUUGCAGGGUAUAGACCCGAAACCCGGUGAUCUAGCCAUGGGCAGGUUGAAGGUUGGGUAACACUAACUGGAGGACCGAACCGACUAAUGUUGAAAAAUUAGCGGAUGACUUGUGGCUGGGGGUGAAAGGCCAAUCAAACCGGGAGAUAGCUGGUUCUCCCCGAAAGCUAUUUAGGUAGCGCCUCGUGAAUUCAUCUUCGGGGGUAGAGCACUGUUUCGGCUAGGGGGUCAUCCCGACUUACCAACCCGAUGCAAACUACGAAUACCGAAGAAUGUUAUCACGGGAGACACACGGCGGGUGCUAACGUUCGUCGUGAAGAGGGAAACAACCCAGACCGCCAGCUAAGGUCCCAAAGUCAUGGUUAAGUGGGAAACGAUGUGGGAAGGCAUAGACAGCCAGGAUGUUGGCUUAGAAGCAGCCAUCAUUUAAAGAAAGCGUAAUAGCUCACUGGUCGAGUCGGCCUGCGCGGAAGAUGUAACGGGGCUAAACCAUGCACCGAAGCUGCGGCAGCGACACUUAGGUGUUGUUGGGUAGGGGAGCGUUCUGUAAGCCUGCGAAGGUGGCCUGUGAGGGCUGCUGGAGGUAUCAGAAGUGCGAAUGCUGACAUAAGUAACGAUAAUGCGGGUGAAAAACCCGCACGCCGGAAGACCAAGGGUUCCUGUCCAACGUUAAUCGGGGCAGGGUGAGUCGACCCCUAAGGCGAGGCUGAAAAGCGUAGUCGAUGGGAAACAGGUUAAUAUUCCUGUACUCGGUGUUACUGCGAAGGGGGGACGGAGAAAGCUAGGUUAUCCGGGCGACGGUUGUCCCGGUUUAAGCGUGAAGGUGGGUGACUUUGGUAAAUCCGGGUCAUCGUUAACACUGAGGCGUGAUGACGAGUCACUACGGUGAUGAAGUAACCGAUGCUACGCUUCCAGGAAAAGCCUCUAAGCUCCAGGUAACAUCAAAUCGUACCCCAAACCGACACAGGUGGUCAGGUAGAGAAUACUCAGGCGCUUGAGAGAACUCGGGUGAAGGAACUAGGCAAAAUGGUGCCGUAACUUCGGGAGAAGGCACGCUGAUGGUAGGUGAAGUGACUUGCUCAUGGAGCUGAAAUCAGUCGAAGAUACCAGCUGGCUGCAACUGUUUAAUAAAAACACAGCACUGUGCAAACACGAAAGUGGACGUAUACGGUGUGACGCCUGCCCGGUGCCGGAAGGUUAAUUGAUGGGGUCAGCCGCAAGGCGAAGCUCUUGAUCGAAGCCCCGGUAAACGGCGGCCGUAACUAUAACGGUCCUAAGGUAGCGAAAUUCCUUGUCGGGUAAGUUCCGACCUGCACGAAUGGCGUAAUGAUGGCCAGGCUGUCUCCACCCGAGACUCAGUGAAAUUGAACUCGCUGUGAAGAUGCAGUGUACCCGCGGCAAGACGGAAAGACCCCGUGAACCUUUACUAUAGCUUGACACUGAACCUUGAGCCUUGAUGUGUAGGAUAGGUGGGAGGCUUUGAAGCGUGGACGCCAGUCUGCGUGGAGCCAACCUUGAAAUACCACCCUUUAAUGUUUGAUGUUCUAACGUGGACCCGUGAUCCGGGUUGCGGACAGUGUCUGGUGGGUAGUUUGACUGGGGCGGUCUCCUCCCAAAGCGUAACGGAGGAGCACGAAGGUUAGCUAAUCCUGGUCGGACAUCAGGAGGUUAGUGCAAAGGCAUAAGCUAGCUUGACUGCGAGAGUGACAGCUCGAGCAGGUGCGAAAGCAGGUCUUAGUGAUCCGGUGGUUCUGAAUGGAAGGGCCAUCGCUCAACGGAUAAAAGGUACUCCGGGGAUAACAGGCUGAUACCGCCCAAGAGUUCAUAUCGACGGCGGUGUUUGGCACCUCGAUGUCGGCUCAUCACAUCCUGGGGCUGAAGUAGGUCCCAAGGGUAUGGCUGUUCGCCAUUUAAAGUGGUACGCGAGCUGGGUUUAGAACGUCGUGAGACAGUUCGGUCCCUAUCUGCCGUGGGCGUUGGAAGAUUGAGAGGGGUUGCUCCUAGUACGAGAGGACCGGAGUGAACGCACCACUGGUGUACGGGUUGUGAUGCCAAUUGCAUUGCCCGGUAGCUAAGUGCGGAAGAGAUAACCGCUGAAAGCAUCUAAGCGGGAAACUUGCCUCGAGAUGAGUCUUCCCUGG